rnacentral:rRNA from 1 species
GUGCACCAGUCGAGAAUUUUUCUCAAUGGGGGCAACCCUGAAGGAGCGACGCCGCGUGGAGGAUGAAGGCUUUCGGGUUGUAAACUCCUGUCAUUUGGGAACAAGUUGCGAGUAUUAACCGUGCUCGUAUUGAUAGUACCAGAAGAGGAAGGGACGGCUAACUCUGUGCCAGCAGCCGCGGUAAUACAGAGGUCCCAAGCGUUGUUCGGAUUCAUUGGGCGUAAAGGGUGCGUAGGUGGCGCUGUAAGUCGGGUGUGAAAUUUCGGAGCUUAACUCCGAAACUGCAUUCGAUACUGCGGUGCUUGAGGACUGGAGAGGAGACUGGAAUUCAUGGUGUAGCAGUGAAAUGCGUAGAGAUCAUGAGGAAGACCAGUGGCGAAGGCGGGUCUCUGGACAGUUCCUGACACUGAGGCACGAAGGCCAGGGGAGCAAACGGGAUUAGAUACCCGUGUAGU